rnacentral:rRNA from 1 species
UCCUACGGGAGGCAGCAGUGGGGAAUAUUGCACAAUGGGCGCAAGCCUGAUGCAGCGACGCCGCGUGAGGGAUGACGGCCUUCGGGUUGUAAACCUCUUUCAGUAGGGAAGAAGCGAAAGUGACGGUACCUGGAGAAGAAGCGCCGGCUAACUACGUGCCAGCAGCCGCGGUAAUACGUAGGGCGCAAGCGUUAUCCGGAAUUAUUGGGCGUAAAGAGCUCGUAGGCGGUUUGUCGCGUCUGCCGUGAAAGUCCGGGGCUCAACUCCGGAUCUGCGGUGGGUACGGGCAGACUAGAGUGAUGUAGGGGAGACUGGAAUUCCUGGUGUAGCGGUGAAAUGCGCAGAUAUCAGGAGGAACACCGAUGGCGAAGGCAGGUCUCUGGGCAUUAACUGACGCUGAGGAGCGAAAGCAUGGGGAGCGAACAGGAUUAGAUACCCUGGUAGUCCAUGCCGUAAACGUUGGGCACUAGGUGUGGGGGACAUUCCACGUUUUCCGCGCCGUAGCUAACGCAUUAAGUGCCCCGCCUGGGGAGUACGGCCGCAAGGCUAAAACUCAAAGGAAUUGACGGGGGCCCGCACAAGCGGCGGAGCAUGCGGAUUAAUUCGAUGCAACGCGAAGAACCUCACCAAGGCUUGACAUGGACCGGAAACACCUGGAAACAGGUGCCCCGCUUGCGGCCGGUUCACAGGUGGUGCAUGGUUGUCGUCAGCUCGUGUCGUGAGAUGUUGGGUUAAGUCCCGCAACGAGCGCAACCCUCGUUCCAUGUUGCCAGCGCGUAAUGGCGGGGACUCAUGGGAGACUGCCGGGGUCAACUCGGAGGAAGGUGGGGACGACGUCAAAUCAUCAUGCCCCUUACGUCUUGGGCUUCACGCAUGCUACAAUGGCCGGUACAAAGGGUUGCGAUACUGUGAGGUGGAGCUAAUCCCAAAAAGCCGGUCUCAGUUCGGAUUGGGGUCUGCAACUCGACCCCAUGAAGUCGGAGUCGCUAGUAAUCGCAGAUCAGCAACGCUGCGGUGA